AAAAAGAUGUGGAAAUCACUCAUGUGGAUAAGAAUCAGGAAUAAGACAACCAGUCAUCAAGGUCCAACAGCUUCCUUCCAACAUGGCUGCCUCAAAGCAGAGCUCCAGAGGAUGAGCCCCAGUGCACAAGACCUAGGAUACUUUUCCAGAAGUGGAUUUGCUGGUCUACAAUCCUGAACAUAGAAACAUAGAAAUCUGAUUUUAUCAGCUUGUCCAUCAAAUAAUCUUAUGAAUUUAUAUCUCUAA